rnacentral:rRNA from 1 species
UGCAGUCGACGAUGACGGUGGUGCUUGCACCACCUGAUUAGUGGCGAACGGGUGAGUAACACGUGAGUAACCUGCCCCCCACUUCGGGAUAACCUCGGGAAAUCGUGGCUAAUACCGGAUACGAGCACUCAUCGCAUGGUGGGUGCUGGAAAGAUUUAUCGGUGGGGGAUGGACUCGCGGCCUAUCAGUUUGUUGGUGAGGUGAUGGCUCACCAAGACGAUGACGGGUAGCCGGCCUGAGAGGGCGACCGGCCACACUGGGACUGAGACACGGCCCAGACUCCUACGGGAGGCAGCAGUGGGGAAUAUUGCACAAUGGGCGAAAGCCUGAUGCAGCGACGCCGCGUGGGGGAUGACGGCCUUCGGGUUGUAAACCCCUUUCAGUAGGGAAGAAGCGAGAGUGACGGUACCUGCAGAAGAAGCGCCGGCUAACUACGUGCCAGCAGCCGCGGUAAUACGUAGGGCGCAAGCGUUGUCCGGAAUUAUUGGGCGUAAAGAGCUUGUAGGUGGCUUGUCGCGUCUGCCGUGAAAACCCGAGGCUCAACCUCGGGCGUGCGGUGGGUACGGGCAGGCUAGAGUGUGGUAGGGGAGACUGGAACUCCUGGUGUAGCGGUGAAAUGCGCAGAUAUCAGGAAGAACACCGAUGGCGAAGGCAGGUCUCUGGGCCAUUACUGACACUGAGAAGCGAAAGCAUGGGUAG